UCAUUACCGAGUUUACAACUCCCAAACCCAAUGUGAACGUUACCAAACUGUUGCCUCGGCGGGAUCUCUGCCCCGGGUGCGUCGCAGCCCCGGACCAAGGCGCCCGCCGGAGGACCAACCAAAACUCUUAUUGUAUACCCCCUCGCGGGUUUUUUUUAUAAUCUGAGCCUUCUCGGCGCCUCUCGUAGGCGUUUCGAAAAUGAAUCAAAACUUUCAACAACGGAUCUCUUGGUUCUGGCAUCGAUGAAGAACGCAGCGAAAUGCGAUAAGUAAUGUGAAUUGCAGAAUUCAGUGAAUCAUCGAAUCUUUGAACGCACAUUGCGCCCGCCAGUAUUCUGGCGGGCAUGCCUGUCCGAGCGUCAUUUCAACCCUCGAACCCCUCCGGGGGGUCGGCGUUGGGGAUCGGCCCUCCCUUAGCGGGUGGCCGUCUCCGAAAUACAGUGGCGGUCUCGCCGCAGCCUCUCCUGCGCAGUAGUUUGCACACUCGCAUCGGGAGCGCGGCGCGUCCACAGCCGUUAAACACCCAACUUCUGAAAUGUUGACC
rnacentral:rRNA from 1 species